GGAGAGAUGCAUCAUUGCAUGAUCACGUUCGUACCGCUUACUGCGUAUCCAGUUCUAAAUGUUACUCGUCUUCUAGAUUGGGGUUCAACUGCCAUCGUCACUGCAGAGAUGUGGUCGUCGCCGAGUGCGGAAGAGAAUCAGUUCAGAAUUCUACGUCUACGCUCAAACGGAAGAUCGCUUCUCGGAAAAAGUCGACGUAGUCGAAUAAUUGAAAGAAGCAGAUGAGAUAUUCAGUGUCGAAUGGCAACUACACUGGGAAGCAACAAUACAACGAACUUGAAGGCACACGGUUUCGUCGUAGCUGAGAACUCCCGUCUGAAAUCCCAACUGAAAGACUCGCAAAACGCUGUCGCAGAGACUCAACGUCAGAUAGAAAGCCUGAAGCAAGAAAUGGCGACAAUCCGUCAAGGAACAAUCGACUACGUUUUGAAUCACAUGGCACAGUUUUCGAAGACAAAGUCGACUGAAGUGUAGUGAGAAAAUUAUGAUAUAUACAAAUAUCUCUAUGUUGGCAAUUGCAACUUUGAUGAGGACGUUGUGUCUACCAGCAAUGUACUACUACUACUCUAGUACACUCUACUUUUAGUAGAACGUAGUUUGCGGCGUCUAACUAGUCUGGAGUACCGAAUUCGAAGCUACCGCCGCGUACAUUUCAGGACAUAAUUCAUAUAAACUAGUAGGUAAAUGCUGAUUCCGUAAAUUUACUAAUUUACUAAUUUACAGGUACGUGCUGUAAAAUAUUUAUGCGUACAUAAAAUCAUUCUAAUAGAUUAACA